GCAGGCAGCGUUAAGAGUAAAGAAUGCAGACUGAAAAGUCAGGUUCAAAUCCCUUCCCAGCCCCUUCAGAGGGCAGGACCUAAGGCCACUUGCUUGAGCUCUGUGAGGCCAUGUUUCUUUAUCUGCAAGCAGGAAAGAGGGGUGGCCACCACGUCACAUGCCUUCCUGUCACUAUUCAUUGAGACAGAGACAAUCUACUGCCAGGCUCAGAAGUACUAUGCCAGCUGGGGCAGCUUGACCUCACCACCUCCUACUCCGGAACCCCAAGGUCUACCAGGUCAAAGGUUGAAGCCAGCAGCAUGGAUGGGGAGUGUAGAGGAAAACAGGAAGCUGCUUAGGAAGGCUGAGACACUGGGAGAGAGCCUGGAACUCGCCUGCUUCCUCCCUCCAGACUCCAGCAAGGGCAAAAGGGAUGUGAGCACAGAUUAAAUGAGGGCUGGCGGGGAAGGCAACGGCAUGAGAAAAGAAGAGUGGAUGCCCCAAAAAUAUAGACCAGAAAUCAACCAUGGGAGCAUGGGUCUCGCUGUGAAGCCUUGGUUGGACUGGAACUCGUUAUGUAGAUCAGGUCACCCUCAAACUCACAGAGAUCUGCCUGCCUCUACCUCCCCAGUGCUGGGAUUAAAGGC